GUGGAGGCUGUGGAGGGAGCGGCGGGAAGAUGGUGGGGGGGCGCGUGAAUGGGAGGUGCUGGGCGUAAAGCGGGCGUAGGCGGCUUGUGAAGUCGGAUGUGAAAUCCCCGAGCUGAACGUGGGAAGUGCAUUCGAUACUGGGAAGCUAGAGGAUGGGAGAGGAUGGUAGAAUUCCAGGUGUAGCGGUGAAAUGCGUAGAGAUCUGGAGGAAUACCGAUGGCGAAGUCAGCCAUCUGGCCUAAUACUGACGCUGAGGUACGAAAGCAUGGGGAGCAAACAGGAUUAGAUACCCGAGUAGUC
rnacentral:rRNA from 1 species